AGUGAACGCUGGCGGUAGGCCUAACACAUGCAAGUCGAACGGCAGCACAGUAAGAGCUUGCUCUUACGGGUGGCGAGUGGCGGACGGGUGAGGAAUACAUCGGAAUCUACUUUUUCGUGGGGGAUAACGGAGGGAAACUUACGCUAAUACCGCAUACGAUCUACGGGUGAAAGCAGGGGAUCUUCGGACCUUUCGCGAUUGAAUGAGCCGAUGUCGGAUUAGCUAGUUGGGGGGGUAAAGGCCCACCAAGGCGACGAUCCGUAGCUGGUCUGAGAGGAUGAUCAGCCACACUGGAACUGAGACACGGUCCAGACUCCUACGGGAGGCAGCAGUGGGGAAUAUUGGACAAUGGGCGCAAGCCUGAUCCAGCCAUACCGCGUGGGUGAAGAAGGCCUUCGGGUUGUAAAGCCCUUUUGUUGGGAAAGAAAAGCAGCAGGUUAAUACCCCGCUGUUCUGACGGUACCCAAAGAAUAAGCACCGGCUAACUUCGUG
rnacentral:rRNA from 1 species